UAUUAUCUAUUGAAGUCAUUUUUGAUAACUUGAAAUUUCUAGUUUUUGAGCCUAGCAUGAUAUAAAAGAUGGUCAAAUUUGGAAAUUCUAGAUGAUUUUGCAACAUUUAUGAUCCUUCUCAUUUUUUUUGACACGGGAAGGUGUUGGGAUUACGAAGGAAAAGGGUUUAGGUGCAUACAGGUUCUCAAUCUCAUGGUCCCGAUUACCAAGUAAGAUACUGAUAUGAACUGACCUGUUAUAAGAAUUCAGAGAAAAAUGAGAAGGAAAGAAAGGGGAAAAAGAAGAAAAACGCAUUUAAAAAUGGGCAUCAUCAAGUUUUUAUCAUGGUUUGGAAUUACACGUGGUAGCAUUUAUCCUAUGUUUGGGUCAGAUGAAAAGCUAAGUGGCGGUGUGUACAUGGAAGGAAUCAAAUACUACAACAACCUCAUCAAUGAACUUAUAACCAAAGGUCCUGAUUCAAUCCAAUUAUUCCAUCAUAUAUCAUCUAUUUUUUCAGCUUCUCAUAAUCUGCCCUUGAGUUCAUGAUAAUUAAAUGCCAGGUCUAAAGCCCUUUGUGACACUCUUUCACUUUGAUCUUCCCCAAUCCUUGGAAGAUGAUUAUGGUGGUUUCUUAAGUCCACUUAUUGAGCAAGUGACACAGAAAAUUAUGAUCCUCUAUCCGUCUGAUUAGGUGGUUCUUAAGUCCACACAUUGUGAAUUUGGCGAUCGGGUGAAGCACUGUAUCACACUGAAUGUGCCAACGAGCUACAGUGUAGGUGGUUAAGCAUCUGGGGCUAUACUGCCAGGGCAAUGUUCUGAUUGGCAAAAUCAUUAUUGCACUAAAGGAAAUUCUGGAUCAGAACCAUAUUUGGUGAUACACCACCAACUUGUUGCCCAUGCAGACAGGCAAAAGUAUCAGGGUUGGAUGCUCUGAGAUGUCUUGUGAUGACAUGUCUUGGACUAGGGUUGAUCAUUCAACUUGAAGCGUUUAAUAGUGCUAUCGCACUGCCACUAGGAGGUGAUGUUCUGUGAGUGGCCCUUUUAGAUCAGUGAGUUUUCUUACGGGUGCCUUUGGUUUUGUUGCUGCUGGUGUGAUAUGGGUGGUAGCUUGUGAGUUUGUGGAUCUGAGGUGGGUGCAGUAUUGGGUGGUAGCUUGUGAGUUUGUGUUUUAUGUGGUGGUUUGUCUGCCACCUGAUGUUAUGCCUUUUGAUGUGUUGGUGGAUAUGGCAUAUUGCACAAAUCUGUCUCUAACAGUACCAGUAUGCAGGCUUCUCUGAAAUGGUUGUUCUAACCAUCGGGUUCAUUUGUUAUAGAUCUUGCCGAAGUGCAAAGCUUUGCCUCUACUUAUGGUUGUGGAGUUGUUCAUGGUAGUGACAUGGAAACACAUCAACGGGGGCUGUCGGUGACAACCAUGUGGGUGGUUUUGUGUGUGCUGGUUUUCCCUCUACAUGUGAUUUUGGAAUGCUUUGGAGUUUUGUGAUAGUGGCAAGGAAGCUUGUGGAUUGUUCUACCUGGCACUUCCCUCCCUCUGUGUUAGUGGGAGCUAGAGAUCUUGCUCUAGCAAGGAGACCCAUUGAUGUCAUCCGGCUUGAUUCGUCCAAGUAAACUAGCGUGCUGGGUUGGUAGUUUGAAAGAAGGUUGGUGAAGUAUUUUAGGUUUCAGCUUAGAGUGCAUCGUGGUCACUGACCGCCUACUAAUGUUGCUCGAGUUGUGCACGAAGAUGGUAAUUAUCCUUGGAUGGCUCAACUAUUUUCAUACUUUUACAUACGAUUGUGAUGAUCAUAGGUUGAGCUUGCAAAGACAAUUUAGGUUUUUAAUCACAGAGGAAUUAGUUUCAUGGUUUAUUAAGGGUCAAGAUUUGUAACGGCCAUAGACUCGGUGUAUAUUUUAAGGGAGUAGGCUACUUAUCUCUCCUCAAUUCGAGGAGUUGGUUAUUUUUUGUAUUAAGGCAUUGGCUCCUUAAUAUUUGCAUUGGGCUCUUUUAUAUUAUUCUUGACAUUUUUUGGCUUAACGUUGACUUACCUUACUCAAAACACGUAUUAUAUCAGUCUAUUAGUAAACAGAUAGGGAUAAUGCCAUAUCGACCACUAUCAAAUUAAGGAAGUUAAACAAACCAAAAAAACUAUUAUGAAAAUAAGCAAUGACUUUCCUCUUAGGAUUUGACAACAAACCAACAUUGUGAAGCAUGUGGAAUAAAAGCUUUCUAAGUUUAACUGAUAGAGAAAAAAAGAUUUUUAAGUUUUAACCUGCCUGAAAUUUUCUAAAGCUAGCAAUUUCCACAACCUCCAUGGGUUAUAUAUAAGAAAUGCCCAAAACUAGCAGGUUCAAUUAACUUAGAGCUAUCAUGAAUAUUUGUUAUGAAAAGUGUAAUUACAAUGCAUUGUUGCAGGUUAAUGAACCCCUUGAUCAAUGGUGACCAUCCACAUAGCAUGCGAUCUCUGGUUGGAAACCGAUUACCCAAAUUUACCAAAGAAUAAGCUUGUAAACAGGUCAUUUGAAUUUAUCAGAUUAAACUACUAUACUGCCUAUUAUGCAGCCUAUGCACCUCAACAUAAUGCUGGAAAUGCAAGCUACUUGACAGGUUCUCGUGCUAAUCUUUCAAGUAAGUGAAAACUCAACACUCGGAAGUAAUGAUUACGUUGGUUUAUGUUCCAAUAUUAACAAUAACAUGUCUUUGCUGUGCAUGGCAGCUGAGCACAAUGGAAUCCCCAUUGGUCCACAGAUGUGUUCUAUAUAUGUCAAAAGUUUUGAAUUUUAAAACAAUCAUGGUCCAAAAUAUAUCAAUUUCUUUAUUCUUUUUCCAAAUAGAAACAUCCUCAGUAGUAUUGAAGCAAGACCUUUGGGCUGACUCACUUUACAAACAAGCACAAAUGGAAAGGGUUAUUCGGUGUUAACCUCUGUUUU